rnacentral:lncRNA from 1 species
CUACCGUUAUAGAUGUUGGAGCUUCUGUGGAAAACAAUGUUGUGCACACCGCUUCAGGAAUUGGCCUGGGAGUAUCUUCGAUUGAUCUGAAUACAGGAAGUGAAGAAAAGGCUGUUACAAAACAAAUGAAGUCGAAAAAACUAGAGUCAAAGGAUUCUGAUGGGCAGUGCAUGGCUAAAACUGAUGGACAGAUAGCGAACGCUGGUUCGAUGUCUGAUCCUGAACAUGUAGACCACCCUGGAGACUGGUUAACUCACACUGGAAAACGUCGGGCUUCUAGCAACAAGCGACCACCCACAUCACGGCUUGCAGGAGGAUUAUCGGCGGCUUUUACUGCCAAGGAAAAUCCCGAUGAGGAUACAUUUCAGCUUG